rnacentral:misc_RNA from 1 species
CAUACUCUGGUGCCAAAUAACCCCUGCAAGAAAAUUAUAUAUUGAGAAUUCAAUGCAAGUAUGUUAUAACAGACUAAGCAAUCUACAAUUAGUCGAUUGGCACACUGGUAAACUAGGUGCAAAAAUAACAAAACUGCUACACUUGGGUAAAAAUAAGAACAGAGCAAUGAAAAAAAUACACGAAAUACACAUAAUUUCAUUGCAUAAGCAACUGAAUACAGGAGAAUAUUUUCUUUUUGUGAGGAAGGUACAUAAAAAGAUCCAGAGAUGCACUAACAUUGUUCCUGCAACACGCGUGCU